CUUGGCGAAUCCCGACGGCGCCCGUCGGCAGUGUGCUCCUGGGCCCCGCCGCGCUGUUGUUAUUUAUUUAACCAACGGGGAGCAACGAAACUCAGCCGGAGGGGUCGGGACGGCGGGGCGGGCGUUGAAGCUGGGACCGGGCUGGGGCUGUGCGGUGGAAGGGGCUCGGGCUCGAUGUGGCGGAGACAGCGCCGGGCGGGUAGAGGCCUCUGGCCGAGGCCUGCGGAACAGCAGCACCGCCGAACGCAUUAAGCGCCCCAGUACCGGCGCAGCGCCUCGAGCAGCGCCUCGAGCAGCCCCUCCGUCGGCCCCGGUGGGGCUCGGUGUGUGGGCCGUGGGAAAGGGAACGGGGGCUCCAUUCCGGCGGUGCCGUUGGUUCAGGGGCUCACGGAGCGGGCUGCGCGCUGCCCGGGCUCGGCGCUGCUCCCCGCAUCGCGGCGUUACCGCCGUGAGUACGAGCAGAAAUGAGAAUCGGCCCCGAAACAAAGCAAAAUGAGCUUCCUCGCACUGAAAGGAGAAGGGGAAACGUGAGCGAUAGAGUAUUGGUCACGUUUAAAAUGAACGCUGUGCAACACAACGUACAGCCGGUGCCUGUCGCUGCGUUCAACCACCCAAAGUUCAUGUUUGUCCCGCUGGAGAAAUGGUUCCGUUGAAGUGUAACACCCGCAGCCCUGCCCCAGCAGUGUGUCCCGGGAAAUCCAGUGCAGAUCCCAGUGCAACCACCACGGCUCUGUGCCUUUUCUGUAUGCGUUUGUGAGUAUGUGCGUGUGUGAGAGAGCGGCUGUGAGAAAGGGAGGGUAAAUCCCUACAACAAUUGCUGUGGAUGGGCAAUAAACAAUUGCAGUUGGGCAUGGCACGAACUAUGUGCGUUGGAUUAACCUCGCUUGACCUCACCACAAUUGUAUUUAUUUAUCCAAUUUCGUAACAGGUUGCUACUGACCAAAAAGAAGUAGAAGUCAAUGAUCAGCUACCUUCGGCUUUUUCUUUUUCAGAAUUGCUGUUGUAUUUUAUUUUUUAAAUAUCGUGAUAAUUUGUAAUUAUUUCCUUGCACAACACUGAAGCCAAUUGAUGGGAACUCCUGAAGAAGAGUGCAGUGUAGAGGAUGUAACGGAGCUCUGUGGUGCUGGGGUAAGAGAAAAGGUAAGCUUUGUGCAUAUUAUUAUGGUUCUGAUGGGCAGUAACCAAUGUAUGUCAGUGCAAGAUCCCAUCGGGGCGGCUGGGCCCUGUGCAUUUUCCUACUCGGUCUAGCAUGUAAUGAUUCGGUGUAACCGGAUUCUUGAGAAAGGACAGGUUACGUAAACAUUUACUGCUGUGGAGUAACUAUACUAUUUGUACUCUGAUAUGCAGGAAGGAAAGUGUUGAUUAACACAGAAGAAAAAAAAAAAAAGCGAAAUUAGCUGAUUGCAUGCUCAUAAGUGCAAGCUGUCAUUGAACUGCUUUUAAAAUAGACACAGCUGGGUGUUUGUGUUGAAAAAUUUCUUGUGUUUUUGCUAAUACUGAAAUAAGCAUGAUUUUGUAUACCAAACAUUUUCAGAUCAUUAAAAUUUGUAAUCUGCGCUGGUUUUAAACACAAAGAAAAGAAACGGAUUCAUUUCGCUGUAAAAUUUGCUGAUAUUAUAUUAACUCAAUCAGGUCUGUACAAACGGGGUAUUGUGCCUUAUCAAAUCCCUUUGAUCCAUUUAAUACACAAAGUGCCAAACGUGUGUAUUGUUUGUUAACAUUGAGCGUUUUAUUCAAAUCCCAGCUCUGCAGCGAACCGGAGGAGCUCUCGUUUAAUGUAACACUGACAUCGCCUGCUGAAAUUUUAAUGCUCUGAGGUGUUCCUUAGGUCAAAGCUGAGUCUGCUUAGCUCUGCGUUCGGGGAUGAGAACGUAGCAGACAAGGAAGAAAACCUUCAUACGUUUCUGAGCAAAGGUCCAAUACAGACAGCAACGUGUUUUUUACAGCGUUUGGUGAUCUGGGCUUAAUAUUCGGUCAUUUAUCACUGCAGCAGAAUAAAGUACUGUGCACAAAUUUAGGAUUUAUAUAAUGUAUUUUUUUUUAGCGCCGUGGAUAUACAGUUCUACCAAAAAAGGAAAUGUUGCGUUCAAUAUGUAGUGCGUAUUGUUCCAAGCUCGUGAGAUUAAUUCCCUGUUUAUAGGACAGAAAAGGAUAUGUAGGAAAAGCAUGUCAAUUAUUUCUACUGGACUUUAACUUUCUAGUCUUUUUUUUUUUUUUUUUUUUUUUUUUUUAAAUAAUAAUUCCUCAUGUAUAAAAGUGGGACUAUUGGCUUUGAACGCUCGAAAUCCUGCUCUAACGCCAGUUCUUCUGUUGGCUCUGACCUGGUCGCAGCUCCCGUCCACUUCAGUAGUAGCUUUAUAAAUGGUGACCCUGAAUAAGUGGCUGGUUUGACCCUCUCAGCUCCGUCUGCACUCGAAUUCCUGUGAGAGGGUCCAGAAAUUUAGCACUUGCUAGCAUGAAAAUUUUGGUGGAGUGCCUGGAGAAACAGCCUGAACGGAGAAGGGAAUGCACGGCCCCAGCCUGGCGGGGCACGGGUCGUGCGAGGAGGGGCAGCUCUGUGCUCCCCACCCUCAGGGGCUCGUGGCGCUGUGGGGCUGAGGGAGUACUGCUCCGAGGACCCCCGGCUCAAAUGCCAUCUGAAGGGUUGCCGUGCAGUUUGAAUACAGAUUCUGGGUGCAACUCUUACUGAUAAUGUUUCACCGCAGAUUUUUCCCUGCAUGUUUUUUUUUAAGUAAAGGGCCAAACGGAAAGUGUACCACUGUCAGCUCGAUGGAUGCAGAUAUGUUGUGGCCCCCCCACGGCUCCAGCCUCCAGUCUCCCUUCACGCAAAUACAGCGGCUCUGUACUCCCAGGCUCUUCCAAGGGGUUAAGCAGUUAAAAUGUCCUGACAGCUUAAGGAAUGAAUGAGGGUUUUUUCAGCCAUGAAUAAAGAGUAUUUAAUAACCACGCUUCGAUGGCAUCAUGUGUCCACGAAACGAGUCGGGACACCUUAGAUUAACAACCUCUAAUAUCGCGUUGGGUACAGUAAAUGCCUGGAUGUGCGCAUUUAUAGCUCUAUCCCCCAGAUUCUAAGCUUGUCUUAUUUAUUCCAGGUUACCUGGGCAAUUAAGGUAAGAGCAGCUCAGCAGGCAGCGACAUCCCGCUGCUCGGGCAGGGCGAGCGGGGCCGGAACGAGCGCUAACAAAGGCGAGAGGUGGUCAUACAGAUUGAAGAGGGGUGAAUGGGACUGGAGGUGGAGGAAUGAAUGGAGGCAAAGAGAGAGAGGAAGAAGUAUUCGGCGGUCCACCCUUACAUCGCGUUUGUAUAUUUAAGUUUAGGUGUCUGUCUCUAACCGACUUUCAGUUAAUCCCUAACAGCUGGCCGUGGUGCUAACGUUUAGUGAUUAGAAGUUACUCUAUUUAGCAUGCUGUAUCCUUCUUGCCUGGGUUUUGGUUACAGGUUAUACGAUUAGCAUUGCGAGAACAGUAGUGAACUAAACUUCCCAGUGAGAGGUCUUCACACCAGGGAAGUGUUACUUUGCUGCAGCAGCCCUGCCUCGUCAGUCAUUAGGAAGCUGCAGGUUGUCAGAGCCUUCUCUUGCGCGCACACACGCGCAGACACACACGCGCACACACAAAACCACAGCACUAAAACUAAAUUAAGAAGCCGAUGAUUAAGACAAGCGUCUACGAGGCCUGUCAUUUCAGCAUCCUUCCAUCAUAACAUUAUGGCACCGAGAAAUUUGCUUGAAAACCCUGGAAAAAUGUCUAUGGGAGAGCCUGGUAUUUGAGAUAGCGUAAAUGUUAACAUCGAGUGUAGGCUGGGAGCUGCCGCGGAUGCAAGAUGGUAUUCCACUGAGGACGCGGGUGCUGCAGGGACCUCUGGGCUGUCCGCACACACUCGGUUUACUCAGUGGCUUCAGUUUCCUGUCCUUGCUGGCCUCCUCACUCAAGUCUGCCUUGAAUUCUUCCCUCUGAUCCCAGUAUUCUGCCACCUUUCCAAACCUUUGAUGUGAAUUGUUGACCUUAAAAUGAGAGGAGUAGCGAAAAGGUGAGAAUAAGGCGUGCACAUAAAAAAGGAUAUCCAGUUUAACAAAAGUUGUAAGACAGUUGGAUUCUUUACGAACUGGAUUAGAGAAAUGCAAAAUACUAAUACCAAGCACUUUAACCAUAGGCUGCAUAUAAAUCCACAAUAACAGAUUAUUUUAUCCUUUUGUGGAGAUAUGAUGACUGCAUUACCACGUUUAAAGUUUCUCUCUGUCUAGCUCUCCUAAAUAUGAAGAGUCUCAAGCAUCUUUUUAAUAGGAGAAAAAGCUGUUAUUUACAAGCGAGUUUUCUCACAGGCUCUUCAAAACUCUCCCCAGCAUUUCAGUAUUUUUAAAAUGGUAACAGGCAGAAAUGGAUAUGAAAUUCCAGUACUUAUCUUACCUACUCUAUACGUGUGAUUUUGCAAGAAACAAUGCAAUUUCAGCAUAGCAGAAGGGUAUGAAAUACAGACUAUAUUUAUGAACUCAUUGCCUUUGCAGUAAAGUUUCCUGGAUGAUUUAGUUUUCAAUUCUCAUAAAAUUUAAAGGAUUAUGACUAAGUUUCUGAACCAUGAUGACUGGCGCCUCAUUGCAAUUUACAAAGAAACCACUUCAAUGAGAAAAAGUUGUGCAGCUCAUGAUGUUUUAAAUCAAGUCUCAAUCAAGGUGGUUUAUUGAUUUAUCAAUGACAUGUGAUUAUCCAGCAGUCAAUUAAUUAUAUUCAGGUUCAAUAUCGGUAAUACAGAAGAUAAAUCAAAAUGCAAGGGAAUGAAAAAUGGAGGAUUUACUGUGUCAUUUGCUUGAGAAAGUAGCUUGAACUUCUGAAGUAAAAGCAAGAUUCAUCAUUAAAUAAAUAAAGCACGGAUCUAUCAGUCCCUCUGCAUUGCUAGUUAUGGAACUGGGUCAAAUCAGCCCAUAAACUGUUGACACCCAUCUUCUCAUUUGUGGAAGGAAAUUUUUCAAAGGUACCACGUGUAUGUCCUAUGAGAACAAGUGCCUUAUUUUACAGGAUAACUCUGGACUGUGAAACUUUCAUUACCUGAACAAACAACAACUUCUACUGAAAAAGAUUCACUCAGAUGUGUUUUAUUAUAUCAUUGAUAUACAUUCCUAAUAACCACAUGGAAGAUCAGUGUGGGGUAAUUAGUGUGCUGUGAAUUCACACCUGAGCUUAAAUUACAGUAAUGGGGCUGAGAAGAAGGCUAUUUAACUGGAAUAAUUGCUCUCUACCCUGGAGUACACUCUAAAAGGAAAGAAGUCUUACUAAAUGGUGAAAUUUGAAGUUUUGCUACUGUCAGUGUAGAGUAUGGAAUGAAUUACAGGUUAUGAAAUGAAGAACAAAGUACUAUCAGCCCAGAAAAUUGAGAGUUUUCUUUAUGGUCUGUUAAAAGUGAAGUAAAUCUAGAUAAAGAAAGAAGGUAAACUGCUUCAAGUCACUUUGAGGUCUGGAUUCCACCUGGUGUGAGGUGGCAAUUAGUGUCAUGUGGUGCAGUGAGAAACUUGGGUUUUACGUGUUUGUCGUCUUCUUCCUUCAUUGUGCUGGUUAAGAUGGAGAAGAGAAAAUAGAAGGCACGUACACUCCAGAUGUGUGAAUAACUGCAAACAUGGACUUCGGAGCUAUCAGAAAAUAACUUGUGUAGCACAGAAACUAAUGUUAAUGUUGAGAGAUGGGUUGGUGGAAUCACUAUCUGCAGUGAUACUUAUGUAUUUAUUUUCUUAUUUCUGUCCCUUUUUCUAAAAUAUUUUACUAGGAUAACAUGCCUAAAAGUAGAUUUUUAUUUUUUUUUUGUAUGUUCAUCAAUGGAAGUCACAUAAAGUUUUAUUCUAGAGACUAUUGAGUGGGGAGUUAAUCUUUCAGUGAGACUUGCAGCAAGUAACAUGGUGAACUAGGUAAGUCAAGGGUGCCUAGGAAACAAGAGUGUUCUAGUACAGGAUAUAGAAAGGUAAAACUUAAUAUCUACGUUAGGUACAACAAAAUAUGUAGCAAUCAUUUAAAAAAAAAAUAAAUUGAAAAUGCGAGUCUGAACUUUGAGGGCCUCAGGGAUUUCAUGGUAUCUGAAUACAAAUUCUGAAUCAUCUAUGUAUCCAGCACAAAAUCACUGAUUUGGAAACUUGUGUAACAUGAUAGCAAGUAAUUAUCAGCCGCCUUCUGUAUUCAGUGUAAUGCAGAAUGCAUUUAUUAACUUAUGCCUUUAAAGUGAGAGAAUAAUUGACACUUUCAGCUGUAUCAGCAAACUCUCAAUUGAUUGCAGCAUGGAAGUGUUGGAAGUAUCAGUAAAUGACUGUAAAGUACCAACGAAAAUAGCUUUCUAACUUUUUAUUUCUUUUGAUAUUCUAAAAAAAAUAAUCUGGAGUUCUGACAAAGGAAGUUAAAUGUGUGUUUGAAUUUGAUUUUUAGAAGGAAUGUUGAAGGACUAAUCACCAAACAUAUUGUACUGUUUUCAGAAUAAACAAUAAUGCCCUUCUUUUGUAGAACUGAAUACUUUCCUUCCUUAUUGCAGUAAUGCUAAGUUUUUUGGGCAAGAGGGAGCACAUAUGGUUUCUAAUCUUGAGCUAUGUGUAUGUUAAAUGACUGGCAAGUAGGUUCAUGCUGUUUGGUGUCAGCUGUCUGGCCAAACUGUGUAUGUAAUAUCAGAGAGUUCUGUCUGACUUUUUCUCUGUAAAAGCAUUAAUUUGAUCUCUCUUUUUCUAUCCACAGAAUUUUCAUUAAAAUUCAAAACAAACAAAAACACUUGUUGAAACAAAUUCUGUCUUUCAAUUGGUUGAGAUGAGACAAAAAAUUGAGUAGGAUUAAAAGAUUUGAGGUGAAGAUAGAAAGACAGGCACUAUGAUCUGAAAUGCCUUCUUUGGGAAACCAAAGUAAAAUAAUAAGCAUUUUCUGACAGCUAUUUUCUUUGUAGUGACAAAUAUUAAGUCAGAUGAUACCGUUGAUGUUUUUACUGAUGGUUUGUAUAAGGGUGAGUUGUUCACUGUUCAGAAACUGUGGUAGAGCCCCAUAUAUGUUAAAUCAUGGAUUCUCUAAAAGAAUGUGGCUCGCUCACAAAAACUAUUAGCAGCUGCGAAUAGCUAAAGGAAGCAAAACAAAACCAGCAGUAAAAUUUUUUUACCCUAGUAUUUCAAAGAGGACUGCUAUUAUUAUUCUGAGUGAAACAGAAGAUGAUUAAUAGUAUUCUUGACCCCUUAAAGGUGCAUAAUAUAAAUGAACACUAAAGACUCUAGUUGUUAAAAUGGGCUGAUGCCUGAAUUCUUUGGAAGUUAUGGUAUUUAAGAUAUUUAUAUACAUUACUGUGUAAAUAUGUGGGCUGACUUAUGAAAUAGCAGAGAAAAUCUCAGCAUCCAAAACAUCAGAAUGCAGUCACCUGGAGGCAGGGAACAAGAAAUCGCCAGCUAAACUGGAGGCGUUAUCUACUAGUACCUGUCAUCUGAAGAAACAAACUAUUUUAAAAAAUGUGUGGAAAAGCAAGCAAAGAAUGUAGAUGCACUUUUACUUCUUUUCUCCUGUGAUGAAAAUGUGUUGGUGAACUGAUGUGAUAAUCAUAAUUGACAAAGAAUUCAUUCUUAGAAAUAAGUGACAAAUUAAAAGAUGAUAAGGUGGAUUUUGUGUUGUAACAGUGCCUGGAGGUCCUGCCAGAGAUCAGAAUUUUAUUGGUCUUUAAUUAUCUCUGCAGUGUCAGGUAUAAUGAGCCUAUGGUCUUUGAGAAGCCCAUAUGGGCCUAUAGGAACUACAAAUAAAUAAUUUUUUUUCGGUUAUGUAACAUCACCAGUAAAAGUACUGUGCUUCUAAUCCGUAAAUGAACACUGAGAUAAUAAAUAGCUGAGGUAGGCAACUCAGGGAUGCUACCAGUGGUAAUUGAACUGGGAAGUUUUAAUGCAAUGUGUUGUUUUCAUUAUAAUGCAGUUGUUCUUCUCAACCAUUAUCCAAACACUGCUUCAUGAUUCUUUGCCCUGGCUAUGAUCAGUCUUCAUAGUCUGAUGAAGUGCUGAGAAUCAUAGAAUCACAUGGUUGGAAAAGACCUACAGGAACAUCUAGUCCAACCGUCUUCCUGUUACCAUUGCUACCGCAAGCCACUAAACCAUAUCUCAUAGGUCCUUAUCCAGACUCCUCUUGAAUACUGCCAGGGAUGGUGACUCCACCACCUCCCUGGGUAGCCCAUUCUCCAGUGCCUCACCACUCUCUGAGAGAAAAAGGUUAUAAAAAAAGUUUUUUGAAGAGUGAACUCACUUUUUAUCUGAAUUUCAUUGCUCCUGUUCUCGAAAUAAAUAACUAUAAAAGUAUGUUUGGUAGUGGUUCCCAAAAUUCCUUUUGAUAGCACAUUUGUGGAAAGUUACCUGUGCUUUAAUAGGUCUCCAGUUCUGAAAUUUGUUGAUUUGCCUAAGAAUAGGUUGCAGAAUUUAGACUUCUCUGUGUUAAAUGUAGGUAAAUAAAUGAGCAGUUUAUCACUUAAGUUUCUUAAAACAAGUAUGAUAAGUUUGUAAGAAUUUUUAUAGUACAUUCAAUAGAUUAGAUAAGUGUUAAACAAUUCUGAAAUCAAAGUACAGAUAGUACUAAUUUUUUUGAACAGUCUGCUAGUGACUAAUUUCUAUUGUGAAAAUUUCAGUAAGGAAGACUUGGGAUUAUUUUACUAUGACCACUAAAAUUGUUUAAAUAUUUAUCAAAUAUUAUAUAUAAUGAUUAUUAAAAUAUUUAUUAAACAAUAAAACUUAAAGUCAUAAUAUUAUCUCAUGCUUCUUGGUCUCUAUAUAUGAUUAUAUGUGAAGAGAUGUUAAAUAUAUGAAAGAUUCUGUAUUUCUUUAAUAAUUUUCUGAGAAAAUAACAAAUUUGGAUAUAUAUGAAUGCUACCUUGAGGAACUGUAUCAUAGUUGUGUUGCCCUGGCAUUCCUAAACAUUUUGCUAUGUUGGCCUAAUUUUUAUUUAUGACUAGAGCCUUAGAGAUCAUCUGAAUUAGUAAGUCCCUCUGAAUACAAAGGGAAAAUAUGCUUGUAUGUUUUACUCUUUUUAAGGGAAAUGUCACAUUUGACAAACUUUGCCAUAGCUGAUCAGUACUUUAUCUUUCACAUCUUCUAGUCUGCUGCUUGAUGUUACUUCUGCUGCUCAGUGCAUUAAAUAAGAUCGACUCCAUCUGA